rnacentral:miRNA from 1 species
GAUGCUGCAUAACAAGCCCAACUAAGAACUUUGUUUGGUUGGGCUUGUUUAGUAUAGCUUACUUCAAUUUCUUCUGCAUGAGGCUAUCAGCCUUUUGUU